GGGUGACAGGCUCGUCUGAUUAAUAAUGUAUUUUUAAAGUGUGUGCCACAUCAAAAGCAAAGCCCAUGUGACUGGGGGAAAGUGGAAUGAAAAGGCAGGGGGGCAAAAUAUUUGGUGAAUUAGAAGAAAUGUUUAGGGAGUGAGAUCAGCAAUAGCUUGGGUUGGAGCACGUUUUCAAGGCGGGCCUCUGCCCCAGCCUACCCCGUCUCCCCAGGGUCUUAGCAGCACUGGGAAAACUCACCAUCCCUCAAAAGAUGUAGACUGGACCUCUGGUCACUAAAAAAUGAAAAAGAGCCCAUCAAACCAAUAUUUGCAAUAACUUCCCUUUCUUUGAGGUGCAGGGCUUUGGACUAGAGCAGACUUUGUCAACGAAAGCAGACAUCACACAGGAAGGCCAACGUGGCUUAAUGUCUCAAUGGCUCUCUGUGCCUUCACAUCCAGGGUCCCCUUCACUCUCCAUGGUAACCCUGCAUGAUGCUGUCCCUGUCUUCCAGGGGUGGGAAUGGAGGUGCAGAGAGGCUGAGGCACAGCCUUAAGACCCAGGGCUCACCUCCAGGCUCCCAGGCCCCAGCCCAUGUCCUUCAACACCCUGUGGGGCACACUCAGCCCUGUGUCUGCAGGUCCACACCUACACACUCAACCACCUCAGAUAGAAAAUGCUCUGGGGGAAAAACAAUUCCAGGAGGUUCCAAAAGCAGAACUUGAAUUUUCUGUGCCCUGAGCACUUCUCUGGAUCUAUGUAGAUGGAGUCACGAGUGGGCAUGUCCUUCUGUGGCCUCCAGUAUUUUAGAGGUGUCCAGUCUGUCCCUAGCACUCGGUGUUGGAGCCUUGUUCAUCUCGUGUGUCCUUCCUGUAUUAUGUAGUUACGUCUAGAAUUACUGCGUCUGUACUGAACAGUUGCCGUCUUAUUUUUU
rnacentral:lncRNA from 1 species